rnacentral:rRNA from 1 species
UACAGAGGGUGCGAGCGUUAAUCGGAAUUACUGGGCGUAAAGCGCACGUAGAUGGCGACGUAAGUCGGGUGUGAAAGCCCCGGGCUCAACCUGGGAAUGGCAAUGGAAACUGGCGGGCUGGAGUAUGGCAGAGGGGGGUGGAAUUCCGCGUGUAGCAGUGAAAUGCGUAGAGAUGCGGAGGAACACCGAUGGCGAAGGCAGCCCCCUGGGCUGAGAUUGACGCUCAGGCACGAAAGCGUGGGGAGCAAACAGG